rnacentral:rRNA from 1 species
GGGGAAUAUUGCACAAUGGGCGAAAGCCUGAUGCAGCAACGCCGCGUGAGCGAUGAAGGCCUUCGGGUCGUAAAGCUCUGUCCUCAAGGAAGAUAAUGACGGUACUUGAGGAGGAAGCCCCGGCUAACUACGUGCCAGCAGCCGCGGUAAUACGUAGGGGGCAAGCGUUAUCCGGAAUUACUGGGUGUAAAGGGUGAGUAGGCGGAUUAGUAAGCCAUAUGUGAAAACUCAGGGCUUAACUUUGAGAUUGCAUAAGGAACUGUUAAUCUAGAGUACAGGAGAGGUAAGUGGAAUUCCUAGUGUAGCGGUGAAAUGCGUAGAUAUUAGGAGGAACACCAGUGGCGAAGGCGACUUACUGGACUGAAACUGACGCUGAGGCACGAAAGCGUGGGUAGCGAAC